AUUUUAGAAUACUUACAAAUAUCUUUCCCAGCUGGCUAAGAAGAAAUCUAAGAGAUCUGAAAGAAAUGCUGGAGCAGCAAUGUAUUUGAAAAUAUACCAACAGUUUGAGAAUUCAUAAAGUGUAAAAUGAUUGUAGUAACGGCCAAGAUGAAGCAUAACUUAUAGCUUGUAAUGGUAAUACCUAAAACUCUGGAGAAAAUAUGAAGAGAAACUGGGAAAACUCUCAAACAGUAACAGACAGAUUGAGGAUGGAAGUCAAAAUGGGAAAAGAAUCCAGGAUAGUGGUGCUGACUGGUGUUGGCAAUUGUUUCUGACAGAAGAUGAGCCACUUUUCCUAUAUUUGUGACCAUCCUCUCAACAGCCUGGAUAGCACUAUGUUGUCCUAAUGAGCCAUAAUAACAAAUAAGCUACUAGAACUUUUCUACAAUAUGACUGGAAAUACUCAGAACAAAAGUGCAAACAAAGGGAGGGGCUACAGAAGACUUCCAGGAGAUUCCAAGACAAGCCAGGGCCAUCCUCAACUACCUCUUUGAAUAGAACAUAAACAUGCCACUUCAGUUCUUCCUCACAAUGCUG
rnacentral:lncRNA from 1 species